UAAGGAUGAAACUGAAACGCAAGUUAACCUACAAAGGGCAUUAUGAGUACAAGUAUGUACACACUGAUCGUGUUAGAAAUGCUCUGAAAUAUUUGAUCAGGUUCAAUAAGUGGUUUGAUGAUGUGGAGAUUAAUGAGCAGUGGAUCAACUCUUUGAAUGAACCUGAAGAAAAUGUUGUAGAUGAAAUGGAGCAACAAGAUGUACUUGAAAAGAUAGACGAUGAAAUUUACUCUGACGAACAGCCAGAGGAAGACCUAACCUACAUCAAAGAGCAAAGUGGUCUUUUGUCAGAUACGUCAUUGCAACCAGUGGACAUUGGUUCUGAAGUAAUUGAUCAGCAUUUUCAGGAUGUAUUAAAUCUGGCACCAGCUGAAGGAAACGGUCCUGUUAGUUUGUUAUCUGAUAGGUCCAACGAAGCAAAAUGUUUCCCUGUUCUCUAUCCAAGUGGUGGUCCAACAUUUCAUGAUAAGAGGGAGGUAAAAAUUACAUUGUCAAGAUACUUAAAUGCAAGAAUCCUCAAUGCAGAUGGACGUUUUGCGCGGAGCACAGACUUAAUUUUCUAUGCACAGUAUUUGUCGGAGGUUGAUCAAGUUGUAUCUAAUGUUUAAAUUGCUUUACGCAAAGGAUCUGACAAGAGUUUGUUGACAGAAUUAACAUCAGAUAUGCUAACAAACCCAGACUCGUUGUCUAAAAUAUUGAAUUUCGAUGAAGGAUACAAGUUUUUGAGACCAAUCCGUGGAACGCCACCAUAUUGGCAAUCUACUCAAAACGACCUUUUUGUGCUCAUAAGACAGCUAGGAAUUCCGACUUUCUUUGCAUCCUUUAGUUCUGCGGAUCUUAGAUGGCCUGAAAUUCUUAGCACCAUAAUCAAACAAGAAGGGAAAAAUCUAAAAGCAGAUGAACUUGACUGGUCUGAAAAAUGUGGACUGAUUAGACGAAACCCAGUCACUGCAGCAAGAAUGUUUGAUUAUAGAUGGCAUUGUUUUCUGAGAGAUGUAAUCAUGUCUUCAGCUCAACCGAUCGGGAAGAUAAUAGAUUACUUUUAUCGUGUAGAGUUUCAACAGCAUGGAUCUCCUCAUGUUCAUUGUCUGUUUUGGGUUGAAAAUGCGCCAAAGUUAAAUGAAGACAAUGAAGACAAUGAUGCUUUGGUCACCAGUUUCAUUGAUCAUUACAUCACUUGUGAGACCCCAAGAGAGGAUGAAACCGAACUGUUUGAGACUGUCAACGGUGUUCAGAAGCACAGUGUCAGACAUUCAAAGACAUGUCGUAAGAAAAAGACAGUUUGCAGAUUUAAUUUUCCACGACCCCCAUCUAGCCGUACCUUUAUUACAAGAGGUGGUAGUCGAGGCGAUUUGAAAAGUAGUGAGGGAAAAGAUGCUGCAAGUACAAUUUUAGAAAAAGUCAAAAGAGCAUUAACAGCUUCUGAUAUGAAUUAUGAUUCAAGAGAUGCAUUUUUUGAGUCAACUGGCAUUAACCAGGCUCUCUUCGAAAAAGCAUACAAACAGUGUUCCAAAAAGAAAACUGUUGUCCUAAAAAGAAGUCCAAAAGACGUCUGGGUGAACCAGUAUAAUAAACAUUUACUGCGUGCCUGGCAAGGCAACAUGGAUAUCCAGUAUGUCAAAGAUGCUUACUCUGUAGUGGUUUACAUUAUUAGUUACAUCACAAAAGCAGAACAAGAAAUGGGACUGUUGGUGCAACGUGCACAAAAUGAAGCUAUGAAUGGAAAUCUUGAAGCAAGAUCAUCAUUAAAAAUGCUUGGCAGUGUAUAUCUUCACAACAGAGAAAUUUCUGCUCAAGAGGCUGUGUAUCGAUUGACAGGUAUGCACUUGAAGGAAUGUUCUCGUAAAGUCCAGUUUAUUCCAAUUGGAUUGAAUCCUGUAAAGAUGAGUUUGCCUCUUCGUGUUAUCAAAAACAAAGACGAUCAGUCUGGUGAAGAAACUAGCUUUUGGAUGACCAGUCUGGUUGACCGAUACAAGAAUAGGCCAAAGACGAAGGAGUUUGAGAUUCAAUGUCUUGCAAGUUUUUGCUCUGAAAACAGGAUAGUGUCAAAAUCAGAGGUUUCUUCAAACAAAAAGGCCUCAGAAGACAAGGUGAUUAGGCUUAACAACAACUGCGGUUAUAUGAUGAAGAGAACUCGAACUGAACCUGCUGUUGUCAGAUAUCCGAGAUUUUCUCCAAAAAAAG
rnacentral:lncRNA from 1 species